UGUUAACAUGGUUUAAGUCCAGGAAUAUUACAAAAUUCUUGGACAUGUUUUGACCAUUUAAUACAAGAUAGAUAUAUAGUUCUUUGGGAACAUAUGAGCCCUUUUGUACUAAAAGAUGUUUUUUACAAAGAAAUAUAUUAUGACUUUAAUAUAUUGACCCCUCAUAAAAGGGAUAUUUACAUUAUAACAUUAAGGGGUUGUUCCCAACCUGAUUAUGGCUUAAUGUAGAUGGUUAAUUGGCCCAUUUUCAGUCACACAUACAUAGACCAGAUUUAAUUAUACAAUUAUUUCUUGGUAAGCAUGGUGAACAGGGAAAAAAUACUUCAUAAAUUAAAGAAAUGUCAAAGAACAAGUCAUAAAUUGAGUUUAAAUAUUGUCAAAACCUACUAUUUUAUGUUUACAAAAAAAAUUAUAAUCGCUCGCCUUUACUUUUCCAGCUUCGCCUCAAAAAUUUUCAAAUUAAAUAUUUUUUUAUUAAAAUUUUCAAAUCGCUCGCUCGCCCCAAUUUUUGGAGUCCAAAAAUCCGUAGAACAAGAAAUUAAAUUGGUGUGGCCUAAUAAAAGAUAUUUUGUAUUGAUGAAACUUCUGACGUCGCCUAUUGUUUACUAUGCAUAUUGUUUGUAAUAUUAUGCCAUAUGUUUACACUGUACAUGUACUUGUUUAUACUGAUGAUUGUCAAUAAAUGAAAUCUGGUUUUAACUUCCAUUUUGAAUUAAGUGGGCUCAUAUAUUUAUGUCGACAAUCAAAGUCAAAUUGGAACUAAAUGUUUUCUGCAUUUUAAUUUCAAUGUAGUUAUGUUAA
rnacentral:lncRNA from 1 species